rnacentral:tRNA from 1 species
GGGUCAUUGGUGAAAUUGGCAACACAGCGGAUUCCAAAUCCGUGUAUUAAAGGUUCGACUCCUUUGUGGCCCGCCA